GCCGGGUGUGGUGGCACACACCUAUAAUCCCAGCUACUCGGGAGGCUGAGACAGGAGAAUUGCUUGAACCCAGGAGGCGGAGGUUGUAGUGAGCCGAGAUCGCACCACUGCCCUCCAGCCUGGGUGACAGAGAAGAGACUCCGUCUCAAAAAAAAAGAAAAAAAAAAUAGAUAAAAUUAAGUUGGGUUUUCUUUUUUGAGAUGGAGUCUCACUCUGUCGCCCAGGCUGGAAUGCAGUGGUGAGCCGAGAUCGCACUACUGCCCUCCAGCCUGGGUGACAGAGAAGAGACUCCGUCUCAA
rnacentral:SRP_RNA from 1 species